ACUCGUAUACGUUUAAGUGUGAUUGCGCCUAUUGCAGAAGGAAUGUUAAACGAGAAGCUCAGACAAUACUGAAGCUGUGUUAAAGACCUAUUAGUUGAACAUGUUAUGGUAGGUACAUAUAUGAGGA
rnacentral:tRNA from 1 species